rnacentral:rRNA from 1 species
AUUGAACGCUGGCGGCAUGCCUUACACAUGCAAGUCGAACGGCAGCACGGGUGCUUGCACCUGGUGGCGAGUGGCGAACGGGUGAGUAAUACAUCGGAACAUGUCCUGUAGUGGGGGAUAGCCCGGCGAAAGCCGGAUUAAUACCGCAUACGAUCUACGGAUGAAAGCGGGGGACCUUCGGGCCUCGCGCUAUAGGGUUGGCCGAUGGCUGAUUAGCUAGUUGGUGGGGUAAAGGCCUACCAAGGCGACGAUCAGUAGCUGGUCUGAGAGGACGACCAGCCACACUGGGACUGAGACACGGCCCAGACUCCUACGGGAGGCAGCAGUGGGGAAUUUUGGACAAUGGGCGAAAGCCUGAUCCAGCAAUGCCGCGUGUGUGAAGAAGGCCUUCGGGCUGUAAAGCACUUUUGUCCGGAAAGAAAUCCUUGGCUCUAAUACAGUCGGGGGAUGACGGUACCGGAAGAAUAAGCACCGGCUAACUACGUG